ensembl:snRNA U6 U6 spliceosomal RNA
AUGCUCCUUUUGGCAGCACAUAUACUAAAACUGGAACAAUACAGAGAAGAUUAGCAUGGCCCCUGUGCAAGGGUGACAUGCAAAUUCGUGAAGCGUUCCAUAUUUUU